rnacentral:tRNA from 1 species
GGAGCUGUGGCUCAGUGGCAGAGAGUUAGUCUUGAGCACAAAAGCUCAGAGACAGCUCCA